rnacentral:lncRNA from 1 species
AAAUAACAAGUUCCAAAGUGCAAUGGACAGCUUCCUCUCCUCCAACAAAAGAGUAUCCUUUUUAAAUUUCUUGACCAAUGAGAGAUUGCUUAAGAGCUCAUGGCUCGAGGCUACGAAUCGAAAGUGAGAAAAUAGGGUUCUUCUAGAGGCCAUGUCAAGAUUGUAGGUGCAAGACUAAAUCUCGAACAAGAAGAUGAGGUGUGAACUUUUAUUUUCUAGUUCUUUUCUUCAGAAUUUUUAUUUCUAGUUUGAUCUUGUUAACUUCUGAUUUGAAUUUUAAUUUGGUUUGUGCUUUUUAUUGUCCUAGUUUGAUCUUGUACAGGUUAAAAAUUUCUUUAGGAUUUUUUACCUACAUUAGAUUAGUUGUUGUCAAGCAACAAUGCACCUGAAGAUUUGUUACCCAUUUUACCUAGACAAAAAGGGGAAGAAAGAGUGUCAUUAUCUUGGCCAAAUCAAGCAGCUGCAUUAGAUGUCACCUCUCAAAUCAAGCAGCUGCAAGCAGAGGUAUGGUAUGUCAUUAUCUUGGCCAGCCAAAAUUCUAACAUGCGCCAGGCAUUGCCUCAUGUUCCUAUGAUCACUAUUGUGGGACUUCAACAAACUAGGUCUUUUAGAUCCUACAUGAAGGGAACCAUGAAGACAAACAUCUCCUUACAUGUUGGCUAUCCAUGGAGCAGCAAAUAGGACUAGAGGUGGAUUAGAUUAACCCAGUUUUGAUUUAAGAUCAAUCCCCAUAAAAUAAUAAAAUUUAAUUCAAAUCAAAGCUACUUGGAUUGGGCAUGGAUCAAAUUGACCCUAUGUAGAUAUGGAUUAUAUUUGGAACAUUAAGUACCUCAAUUCAGACUUGAAUCAAUUUCACCACCCUUGUGGGAUCUAAAAAAUUACUUAUAGUAAUCACUUCUAUUCAAUUAGUCAUUAAAUUAUAAUCUACAUAUGCUUGUGCCCCAUAUAUGAUGCGAAUUGCUGAU